AUUGAACGCUGGCGGCAGGCCUAACACAUGCAAGUCGAGCGAGCGGCGGACGGGUGAGUAAUGUAUGGGGACUGCCCGAUCGCGGGGGAUAACUACUGGAAACGGUAGCUAAUACCGCAUACUAUCGGAUAACCCAUAUGGGAUUAGCUAGUAGGUGGGGUAAUGGCUCACCUAGGCGACGAUCCCUAGCUGGUCUGAGAGGAUGGUCAGCCACACGGGGACGGAGACACGGCCCAGACGCCGACGGAGGCAGCAGUGGGGAACAUGGCACAAUGGGCGCAAGCAUGAUGCAGCCAGGCGGCGUGUAUGAAGAAGGCCCUAGGGUUGUAAAGUACGUUCAGGCGGGAGGCGUUACCGACAGAAGAAGCACCGGCUAACUCCGUGCCAGCAGCCGCGGUAAUUC
rnacentral:rRNA from 1 species